UACGUAGGGCGCAAGCGUUGUCCGGAUUUAUUGGGCGUAAAGAGCUUGUAGGCGGCGUCAUAAGUUGGACGUGAAAACUCCGGGCUUAACUUGGAGAGGCCGUUCAAUACUGUGAGGCUAGAGGGUGUCAGAGGGGAAGUAGAAUUCCUGGUGUAGCAGUGAAAUGCGUAGAUAUCAGGAGGAACACCGGUGGCGAAGGCGGUUAGCUGGGGCAGUUGCUGACACUGAGGCGCGACAGCGUGGGGAGCAAACAGG
rnacentral:rRNA from 1 species